GAUGAACGCUGGCGGCGUGCCUAAUACAUGCAAGUCGAGCGAACGGACGAGAAGCUUGCUUUUCUGAUGUUAGCGGCGGACGGGUGAGUAACACGUGGAUAACCUACCUAUAAGACUGGGAUAACUUCGGGAAACCGGAGCUAAUACCGGAUAAUAUUUUGACCGCAUGGUUCAAAAGUGAAAGACGGUCUUGCUGUCACUUAUAGAUGGAUCCGCGCUGCAUUAGCUAGUUGGUAAGGUAACGGCUUACCAAGGCAACGAUGCAUAGCCGACCUGAGAGGGUGAUCGGCCACACUGGAACUGAGACACGGUCCAGACUCCUACGGGAGGCAGCAGUAGGGAAUCUUCCGCAAUGGGCGAAAGCCUGACGGAGCAACGCCGCGUGAGUGAUGAAGGUCUUCGGAUCGUAAAACUCUGCUAUUAGGGAAGAACAUAUGUGUAAGUAACUGUGCACAUCUUGACGGUACCUAAUCAGAAAGCCACGGCUAACUACGUG
rnacentral:rRNA from 1 species